GGCGUCACUAGUGCAAUUGGUUAGCAUGCGAUCCCGGAAAGGUUUAAAUGCGGGAUCGACUCCCGCUCGAUGUUA